CCUACGGGAGGCAGCAGUGAGGAAUAUUGGUCAAUGGUCGGGAGACUGAACCAGCCAAGCCGCGUGAGGGAGGAGGGUACAGAGUAUCGUAAACCUCUUUUGUCAGGGAACAAAGGCGGGGACGUGUCCCCGGAUGAGUGUACCUGAAGAAAAAGCAUCGGCUAACUCCGUGCCAGCAGCCGCGGUAAUACGGAGGAUGCGAGCGUUAUCCGGAUUUAUGGGGUUUAAAGGGUGCGCAGGCGGUCUGUUAAGUCAGCGGUCAAAGCCCGGGGCUCAACCCCGGCCCGCCGUUGAAACUGGCAGUCUCGAGUUGGAGAGAAGUAUGCGGAAUGCGCGGUGUAGCGGUGAAAUGCAUAGAUAUCGCGCAGAACUCCGAUUGCGAAGGCAGCAUGCCGGCUCCACACUGACGCUGAGGCACGAAAGCGUGGGUAUCGAACAGGAUUAGAUACCCUUGUAGUC
rnacentral:rRNA from 1 species